rnacentral:rRNA from 1 species
CCAACCGGGAUUGCCUUAGUAACGGCGAGUGAAGCGGCAAAAGCUCAAAUUUGAAAUCUGGCGUCUUCGACGUCCGAGUUGUAAUUUGAAGAAGGCGACUUUGUAGCUGGUCCUUGUCUAUGUUCCUUGGAACAGGACGUCAUAGAGGGUGAGAAUCCCGUGUGGCGAGGAUCCCAGUUAUUUGUAAAGUGCUUUCGACGAGUCGAGUUGUUUGGGAAUGCAGCUCUAAGUGGGUGGUAAAUUCCAUCUAAAGCUAAAUAUUGGCGAGAGACCGAUAGCGAACAAGUACAGUGAUGGAAAGAUGAAAAGAACUUUGAAAAGAGAGUGAAAAAGUACGUGAAAUUGUUGAAAGGGAAGGGCAUUUGAUCAGACAUGGCGUUUGCUUCGGCUUUCGCUGGGCCAGCAUCAGUUUUAGCGGUUGGAUAAAUCCUCGGGAAUGUGGCUCUGCUUCGGUAGAGUGUUAUAGCCCGUGGGAAUACAGCCAGCUGGGACUGAGGAUUGCGACUUUUGUCAAGGAUGCUGGCGUAAUGGUUAAAUGCCGCCCGUCUUGAAACACGGACCUCCUGUGUGAAG